UCAACCUAAGGUUAUCUUCGAUUUUGUAGGUAACAUAUCCAGAGGCAUUCCUAUCUGAACCUUCACUUUCUUCUUGUUGCUGAAAACUACAAGCAAAUACCAUCAUUUUGUUUCUUUUGGGUACCAAAUUUGCAUGAAGUUGGGAUGGUUUGGAGACCAGGGCACCGGCAGCCAUGAUUGUAGGUUUGUAUGUUUUAGUGGUUACCAAAUUUGUACGAAGCUGCUGACACCGCUGAGGAACGGCCACAACAGCCACGCAUUGUGUUGCUAGCAGGGUUGAAUUGGCAGUCAAGGUGAUGGUGUAUGUACGUAGCUAAGCUUUGUGUGUUUCGGUUUGUAUUAUGUUGUGUCGGGGUUCUGUUAAAGAUGACUCCUAUUUUUAAUCAAAUUUAAAAAAUAA